rnacentral:rRNA from 1 species
UACGAAGGGGGCUAGCGUUGUUCGGAAUUACUGGGCGUAAAGGGCGCGUAGGCGGCCUGUUAAGUCGAACGUGAAAUCCCCGGGCUCAACCCGGGAACUGCGUCCGAUACUGGCAGGCUUGAAUCCGGGAGAGGGAUGCGGAAUUCCAGGUGUAGCGGUGAAAUGCGUAGAUAUCUGGAGGAACACCGGUGGCGAAGGCGGCAUCCUGGACCGGUAUUGACGCUGAUGCGCGAAAGCCAGGGGAGCGAAUGGG